rnacentral:rRNA from 1 species
GACAUGGCUCGGAUAGCACACAACUGCUGCGACCUCAUGCCUUGGCCUGUCUGCGGCCAGGAGGCUGGGGGUGUCGCGGGGCGCGCGGGUGAAAGCUUUCUUGCUUCCGACCUCAGAUCGGACGAGAUUACCCGCUGAAUUUAAGCAUAUCAC